CUCGGCUCUUUCAUAUCUCUCUUCUCUUCACUCAACCACAAGCACACACACGCACACUAUCUCCCCUGCGCGAGGAAGACCCAUUGCCAUCAUCAAUCGCGUCCUGUUCUCUCUCCCUCUCGUGUAUGCGAACCCAGAAAACCGGAAAGGAUCUCCGGCGAGAUUUUUAUAUUUUCCGGUGAGGACGAAAUCACCACGGGUGUAGGCACACCCAUCUCUGGCGACCUCAGGAGUGUCGAGGGAGAUUCCGGCCACCUCCGGCCGUUCCACGACGAAAGGAAGGUGCAAUUAUUAACGGUGAUUCCGUUAUACCUUUUUGGUACAGUUUUGCACCAUCGGUGUACGGGCUUAGAAUCGAGGCAUACAAUCCCGACGUCAAGGCAAUUCCGCAUCGGCAUCUUCGAGUCCUCUCGGUUCAGGACCCAUCCUUUGUUUCAUUAAACUUUAUAUUAUUUCUUUCGGUGUUCUAGUUAGUCAUAUGCUCUAA